AGGCAGGUAGUGGUGACUGUUCAGGUAGCAGGAGAGAUGGUAGAUACAGAUGAUGGUGAUAAUGAUGAGAUAGAAAAUGAAAAGGAUUCUAGCUGUACCAACAUAACUGAUCUGCUGCAACAGAUAGGUCAAAGCAUAGUAGAAUUGCAACGCCAGAUGAGUGAGUCUGAUCUGCCAUGGCGACAUACUAUGACACUUAGGUCUCACGCACAGCAAGAUAAACCAACUAAACCGACUGAAUCAGCGUUCCAGUUUCCAUUAGUGCAGGCAGGCUCAUUUCUGUGCUAUAAGUCAUAUUCAGUAGGAGAUGUAAACUCCCUGGUGGAGAAAAUGCCACCCCCUAGAGAGGGUGGAGGUUUGUGGAUGGACAAGUUGGCUGAAAUGACAGCUGGCCAGACAUUAGCUUUAGGAGAUUUCAGGGCUGUUGCCUCCAGGAUGAUGUCACGUAGUGAGCUCCAUGAGAUAGAGACACAGUCAGGUACAAUGGGGCGUGGUGAUGAUGAAAGAUUUACUACAUAUAGUACCUGUAUAGGUUUUGCUAUGCGUGAUCUGUUUCCAUUGCCAGUAUCCACAGGUCCUCCUAAGUACACAUGGGACCCAGCAGUGUCCCCUAGGGAUCAUUUGGUGAAGUGUAGAGAGGAUUGGACAAGGAAAACAGGUAUGAAUCCCACUCAGCAGAGUGUCCAACAGCAGUGGUUUAGAAAGGCAGUAGAGGAGGGCCUCCCAGUCUCAGUCCAACAAGCUUUAAAUAAUAACCCAGAUCUCCCUGGAAGUGUUUCCAAUGUGUGGGAGCGACAUGUUACACAUCACAUGGAACGACACAAAACAAAAACAGACCAAGAAAAUGCUGAUAUAAAAGGGCUUCAUGUUCAGUUACUAAAAUUACAAGUGGGGCAGGCUCGUAAAGACGCCACUGACCAGAGAAAGAGUAAGAAAGAUACCCCAGCAGUUCAGAUGGUAGCGCAACCUCAGCCCGCUCCUCAGCCACAGCCCCCAUUUGCGGGUAACUCUGACCUUUAUCUGACCCCACUUUGGGUCCCCCAACCUCCUUAUCGUGGAGGGUGGGGCCAGAAUCAUAGAGGAGGAAACUGGAGGGGACAGGGUGGCCGAAGGGGAGGGGGGCAUGGAAGGGGCGGAUACAGCGGUAUGAGUGGGGGUGACUGCUUUUAUUGUGGAAAACCUG
ensembl:lncRNA